GAUGAACGCUGGCGGCGUGCCUAAUACAUGCAAGUCGAGCGAACAGACGAGGAGCUUGCUCCUCUGACGUUAGCGGCGGACGGGUGAGUAACACGUGGAUAACCUACCUAUAAGACUGGGAUAACUUCGGGAAACCGGAGCUAAUACCGGAUAAUAUAUUGAACCGCAUGGUUCAAUAGUGAAAGACGGUUUUGCUGUCACUUAUAGAUGGAUCCGCGCCGCAUUAGCUAGUUGGUAAGGUAACGGCUUACCAAGGCAACGAUGCGUAGCCGACCUGAGAGGGUGAUCGGCCACACUGGAACUGAGACAGAGUCCAGACUCCGACGGGAGGCAGCAGUAGGGAAUCUUCCGCAAGGGACGAAAGCCUGACGGAGCAACGCCGCGGGAGUGAUGAAGGUCUUCGGAUCGUAAAACUCUGUUAUUAGGGAAGAACAAAUGUGUAAGUAACUAUGCACGUCUUGACGGUACCUAAUCAGAAAGCCACGGCUAACUACGUG
rnacentral:rRNA from 1 species